AUACUUACCUGACAGAGGAGGUGCUACAAUCAUGAAGAUGGUUUUCCUAGGGGGAGGCUUGUCCACUGCAUUCCAGAUGUGCUGACACUAGCAAUUUCCCCAAAUGUGGGAAACUAAACUGUGUCAUUCAUGGUGGUGGUGGAUUGCAUUCCCAUUG
rnacentral:snRNA from 1 species